UACGAAGGGGGCUAGCGUUGCUCGGAAUCACUGGGCGUAAAGCGCACGUAGGCGGAUCUUUAAGUCAGGGGUGAAAUCCCAAGGCUCAACCUUGGAACUGCCUUUGAUACUGGGGAUCUCGAGUCCGGAAGAGGUUGGUGGAACUGCGAGUGUAGAGGUGAAAUUCGUAGAUAUUCGGAAGAACACCAGUGGCGAAGGCGGCUCACUGGACCGGCAUUGACGCUGAGGUGCGAAAGCGUGGGGAGCAAACAGG
rnacentral:rRNA from 1 species